ACAGAGACUCCAGUAAAGAAACUGGAGCAUGACUCAACAAAAACCAAGACAGGUGAAUAUAUGAAACUGUUAAAUUAAGAGAUGCAUAGCCCAAAUGGCAUUAACGUACUCUGGGAAAUAAUUAUUCUGGGAAAUUGUGCUUAUUAUUGAAUUGCACAACUCUUUGUAUGUUUCUUCUUUGGCCCCCAGGUUUUAGAUUCAAUAAAUGUAGAGAAGAAUAGGCAGCCUGUAGUGUAGCAAUACAUACAUAUUUAUUGAGACAUGCAGUAAAGACAAUCAUCCAACAUGAAAAACCGAGUUAGUAAUUGAACAUAUAUGUUUUCAUUAAGAUUUUGCAUUAAACCAAAUGUUCUUUUUCUGUGAGUAAAACGUAAUUCUCAAUAAUACUCCCCUUUAGCCUAGAUUGAAUAUGUUGUUGGAGAACCUCCUGGAACACCAAAAUCCUCACUUUUGGCUUCUAGUGUUUUGCAGGCAAGAUAGUCCUCUAUUUGUUUAACACAAUGGCUCCUUGCUGAUUGGAGCAGUAUUUUGCCAUGCAAGCACAAUAGCUUCCAGAUGUUUUUUUUUUAUGAAAAAGCAUUGGGUUGGCUGAGAUCAUCAAAAUGCCCCAGGUGGGGCCAGCCGAGUCCUUCCUAGUCUAUUUCCUUGUGUACUUCUAAGAUUAAAUGAACUCCUACCCUAACACAACCCUCAACCUUUGCUUUAACUGCUUAUUAUAAUGUUGCCAUAACCCCUCAAUAUUUAAAUUUGCCCUUUUGGUAUCAUGGUUUAUUAUGGUUUAAUUCCAUAUUGGAGUAUAUAAGUGCUCUACUGAUCACAUCAUGAAAAUAAAGAAAGUUUUGACUCACCAUGUUGGAAUGUGAUAUUUAACAAAAAACCUUGUUUGUAAAAACAGUUGAGCUUGUGUACAUUACACUUCUGUUAUAUGUGUAGGGUAGAAUAACAAACAAAUAUUUACUGACUUCAUAAGACUCUGACUACACGUUUUUCAUUUUGCUACUAAAAUAUCUAUUAUAUGCUCCACAGAAACUCCAGUGAAAAAGCAGGAGGCUAAACCAGCAAAAACAAAGACAGGUAAAUAUUUAAAAUUCUAUGUAAAAUGUAUUUAGACUUUAAACUCUAACACAUCUGGUGCAUCUGGAUAAUAAAUCAAUUUAAGGAAAACAAGAUUUCACACUUCCUUAUUAAGUUGUGUUGAGUCUACAGAGCCCUCCUGUGUCCAGGAGGGUUAGAUUAAAUAUUCUGUUUUUAUCUACAUAAAAAUUCAAUGAGUGCCUACUUUCUGGAUGUCUCUAAGUUUAAAUACAGAGGGAAUCAUAAGUCAAUUUUACAUUUUACACUUGAUGGUUGUUUAUACUGUUCAUUUGCUAAUACAUUAUUAAAAAUUGUAAAGAAAGUAAAAAUCAUAGCAAUGGAGGAAUUAAGACAGCAAAGGUAUAUAUCUAGAUAUUUUUGCAUAGUGUAUUAGUUCACAAUUCAAAAAUAGUUUUCAUCCUCCUAGUCCGAUGUAGGUAUGAGUGUAAAAAAGGGGACAGCACAAAAGUUGUCCUCCAAUAUACCAGUAACCCAUACAUACGUAAAUAGAGCUUAAUAAUUAUUUAAUUCCAUUAUUCCAUUAACAUGGCAAAUAUUUUUGAAUAGUGCCAUUGUGACGAGGCACUUUUAGAUGGAGAAUUGAGGAUGGGACUUUCUUUAACAUAACCUUUGCUGUUGUGAUGUUCAGGGCUAAAAUCUUGGGGUACUUUAAUAAAUUAAUGGCCACCUCAGUCACACUCCUGCUGUCCAGAGCCCCCUUCUACUUUCCAGGCUACUGCUCUCUACCUUAUUUACCUACACAAUCCCUACUAGGUUCGCCCACUUUCUACUCUCCACACUUGCAAGCUUAACUUACAUUUUCUUACUCUAAUCCACAAACAUCAUUGCCUUUACCUGGCACUGUAAAAACUCUGUGUGGAUAGUAUGAAAUUCACAGAUAUGCUAGUUCCAAAACAUGAACAGAAAUACGUUCUUGAUUGUGCAUAUAAAAAAGGUAGCUCUAUUAAGUCAAGCUUAUAUAUGAAUAUAAUUUGAGUAAAGUGCACAGAGGUUUGGGCUCCAAGAGAAGAACACUAAAGCAGUUCAUGUUUAUAAGGCACUUUCUCAGAGACACUGAUCUCUCCUUGUGCAAUGUGCUUCAUCGACCACCAAGUAUGUAAGUGGCCAAGAUGUAUGUCUUUGGUCACUUAUGGAUUAAGCAUAAUACUAAUUAUUUUUUUAGUUGCCUAAUUUGUUCAGAAUAAUUUCUUGUCAUUAUUUUGACUAAAAUGUAUUUUAAAAAACCUUUUAAAUGCUACUAACCUUCUUUGCAGCUUGCAGAACUUAAUGUGUAGAUGUUUUUAUAUUUAAACAAAGAUGGUAUUUUUAUUUUUUUUAGAGGGGGCCAACAUAUUGCCCUGACAUUGUGCACAGUGUGUACUUGAGCAUUUGUCAAUACAGAUAAUGUACACAAUACAUUACAGAGCAUAAAGAAACUUACUUUUGAUUGAUCAGUUUUUUGUAAAAUAAUUUUUAGUUAAGAGAUUAGAUAGCCAGUGAGAAAUUUAACAAGCAAACCUGUCAAUAUAUUUAUUUAUACUAUGCCAUUUAAAUAGUAAACAUGUAUUCCGCAGAGACUCCAGUAAAGAAACAGGAGUUAGAACCAACAAAAACAGAGACAGGUAAAUAUUUGAUGUAUAUCACUAAAGUGCAAGGAGCUUCCCAAUAAAGUGCUUUGCCAUAAAGAGCAAUUAUAAAUCAGCUGCAAACACUUCACAUCAAAUGUGCAAAAUAAAUCCAAUUUAAUCACCAGACAUUUCAACUUCAUUCAUUCUUCAUGCAUAAUUCAUUCUGGCGCGGGGUAGGGAGGUGAUGGACCAAGAUUUGUACUUAAAGUCAAUUUAACAUAUAACUCCCAAUACAGGAUCUAAUUUAAAGUUUCUAAAUCAUCUUAAUAAAGAAGAUGUUAACAAUUUUCCCCAUACUCUUGUAUACAGAUGCAGCUGGUUAUUCAUCAAGUAAAAACCUUUCUCCAUAGAGCACUGGUGAUUUAUUUGAGAUGUUAUUUCGUACCAGUUUUGAUACCCUUUAUUUUUCUAAUUUCUGGCGAUGCAUGUUUUUGUGGCCAGCAUAAUAUGGAUCAUUAAAUUAGAUAAGGGUUUAUCCACUUGGGGAAGGUCUAAGUAAAGAAGAAAAAGCUGCAGAAAAAGUAGUGUCUCUUCACUCAAAAAUUCAAAAAUAAGUCUUUUUAGGUUGUUUUUCAUAAUGUCUAACCCCGCGCACUACCACCAAAUAUGGAGAUGGGAUCCCUUUGCAUUGCCACAUCUCCAGCAUUGGUCAGAGUGAGCAAUAUAAAUCUCAUUUAAUUUAGUUGGAACCAUGUACCACCUGUAUAAUACUUUGUAGUACAUCUCAAUCAGAUUUACACUUGUUUACCCUUUUUGACUCGUUUGAUACCCUGCUUUCAAGUGUGUAACUCAAACGUUUUCUUAAAAUCUAGUUCCCAUUUCAAUAUUGGAGACUUUUUCACAAAGGUAUCAUUGAUACUGAGGAAUUUAAGUGAGCAGGAAAUUAUUUUCUAAGGGCCGUGAAUCUCUAGGAAAUCAAUGAUAUCAUUAUGAUCUAGAAUUUGCUUAGUAGACGGAUAGUUUUUUACUCUCAAGUAUGUAAAUACUUUGCCUGGGGCAAGAUAAUAAAUAGACUGUAAUAAAUGGAAGGGGGUUAAACUGCCCUUAGAGAAGAUAUGCAAAGCUGGUUAAUACCACAUCUUCUCCAACUACACAAUUCCAAAUCUUUCAUAUUAAUUUACAAUAAUUCUAGUGGAGAAGAUAGGAUGAUUCAAUUUGUUUGUUUACAUUUUUUCCUUAUGGUUUUAAUCGUACUCAAAAUCGCCUUAAUAAUGGGAUUUUUUAAAUUUUAUUUUGUCUAAUGGACAACUCUCAUCUAUCCCGAAUCAAUCAUAUAGAAUAUCGGCUUUAAACUCUUGGGUUUCAUUUUCCUCCCAUAAGUUGGUAUUGUUAUUAUUUUUAUCCCAAGCUAAGUAGUGGGAUAGCAUGCAGGCUUUGUGAAAUGCAUGUACAUCCAGAAAUUAAGAAAUCCCCCCUGAUUUCUUAAUUUUUUAAAAAAAAUUCUAGGUUUCUUACUGGCACAAAUAAACUUAGAGAUAGCUACUGUAAAACAACUCAGGAUUUUAUAACUAACUCUAAGUGGGAUUGUUCUGAGUAGAUACAUUAACUUUGGGAUCAGAUAAGCUUUUGUUGAUUCCAUCCAAGAUAAUUCAACCUUGCUCCAUUUCUUAAAAUACAAUCUAAAAUCCUCUAAAAGCUUUAGGUAGUUUAUGCUGAUCAGGUCGUCAAAUGAUUGAGUGAUUUUCACCCCCAAAUAGUCUAUGAAUCUGCAGUCCCAAUUAAACUCAAAGCAGACCCUAAGCUGAUUCCUCGCUAUAUUAUUAAGCCCAAAUAUCAAUAUCUGUUUCUUAAGUAUGUUAAUUUUAAAGUUUGAAAAUUCACCAUAUUCCAUCAUCAAUUUCAACACUGCUGGUAUGGACUCAAUGGGGUUCAACAGAGUCAGAAGAGCAUCAUCGGCAAAUAGGAUGAUCUUAUGCUCCAUUUGGCCGACCUGGAUGCCAUGUUCUUCUUCUUUUUGUCUAAUUAGAGCCGCUAAGGGUUCCAUAGCGAGAAUAUAGGGCAUUGGCACCAGUGGGCAACCCUUCCAUGUUCCAUUCUUGAUAUAAAAGUAUUCUGAUUCCAUGGCCGACCAAUUACCUUUGCAGAUGGAUUAGUAUAUAAGGACAUGAUGCUGUCUCUGAAACUACCUAUGAUACCAAAUUGUUGCAGAACCAUAUUCAUAAACGGCCAAUCCCACCUAUCAAACCCCUUUUCAGCGUCCAUAGCCAAAAAAGCGACUUUAGAGUUUUUUUAAUUGAUUCUGUGGGUUAGAUUAAUGACUCUGCGAAUGUUAUCUCUAGCUUCUUGUUUCUGAUGAACCCAGCCUGGUCGCCAUGGAUUAGAGAAGGAAUUAUUUCCUUAAGACAGUUAGAAAGGUUAUCUUCUUUUGAUAUGGGGAGAAGAUAUUCCUCUGAAAUAUGUUCCUGUUUAGGAAGGAUAGAAAAUACCCUCAGUAAUAUUGGACUCACUAUUUUUUUAAAUUUUUGAUAAAAAAGAGAUGGGAAUCCCUUAUUUAGUUUGAGAGUUUAAAUUACCUCAUUAAUCUACCUCAAAGAUAUUGGACUGUUCAGAAUAUCUAACUCCUCCUUUGUUAUCUUGGGAAGUUUGAUUUUAGCCAAAAAGGAUUUAAUUUGUUGAGUAGAUUUUCUAUUUGAACCCAAAUGUCUUAUGGUGACAGGUAAAUAUGACUGUCAUCAACAAUUUUUUUUAUUAUUUCUGACUUGCAUUUUUGUUUUAAUUUAUUGGUUAAAGAUUUACCAAUUCUGUUAUAUUUUUGUUGAUUUUUUUCCAAUGUCAGGUUGUUAAUUUGCUGUCUAAAUGACCAAAGUUCUAAGUUCUGUUGCCUAAAUUAUUUUUAUUUAGCCUUUCGAUGUCUGACAAUCUUAUAUACAGUUGUUGCAAGUUCUCUCUUGAGUUUCUUUUAAUGGAGAAGCCCAGUUUAAUAAACAGUCCUCUUAUUAUACACUUGAAAGAUGCCCAGAGCGUCACUUCCGAUACCUCCCCAUUAUCGUUUGUUUGUAUGGCCCUCUGAGCUUCCUCAAACAGUAAAUCAAAAUUGUCUUCCGCCUUCAAGAGGCCAUCAUUUAGUCUCCAUUUGGAUCUUAUUUUAUAUUGAGUAUUAUUUUUCAUACACAUUAUCAGAGGAGCAUGGUCUAACCAAGUGAUUAGGCCUAUACCAAUGCUUUUUUAUCAGAGGUAGUCAGUUGUUCCUAGCUACGAACAAAUCUAUACGUGAAUAUGAUGGGUGAGUGUGAGAAUAAAUAGUAUAUUCUUUAACUGUAGGGUUAAACACUCGCCAACAGUCGUACAGUGCAUUUCGCCAUAAUAGAUUUUGAAAUUUUGUGGAAUCUGGGCUAUAAGCUUUGGGGCGUUCUUCGCCUGGCUCCUAUCUGUACUGGGGUUAGGAACACAGUUAAAAUCGCCACCUAAUAUCAGAGUACCCAUUGUGAUAGUAUUGAUUUUGGAGAUUAGAUUGCUUAUAAUUCUGAGAGGGGAAGUAUUGGAAGCAUAUAAGUUAAUUAAAGUAUAUAGAAUGUCAUUUAUUUUAACAAUGAGAAUUAGAUUUGCCCAUUAAGAUCCUUCUCCUGAAAAAUCACUUCAACUUUCAGUUUACUAGAGAAUAUUAGGGCUACUCCUUUUUUUUUAUUAUUAUUCCUCCUUCAUAAUUAGAAAAAAACAGCAAAGGGAAUCUUGUAAAUGAUCACAGUUUUGUAGGGUCUAUGACCCAAUGAGAUUCCUGAAUUAAUGCCACGUCAACAUUAUGCUCACUCAGGAGGUUAUAUAAACACCCUCUCUUAUAUGGGAAGAUCAACCCCUUGGUGUUAAUUGAGAGAUAUCUCAGUGACAUCAGUAUAAAGUAUGAGCUCUAUGCAUUUUCCUUUCUUCUCCUACCUUUCCCUUUGUACCUAGUGCCUUCUUCCCACCACCACAUCACCUCUUCUCUCCAAAUUCCACACUACCUCGACAGUCCAGGUGAUUUGACCAGUGCUGUAGACAGUUCCCAUCAUACAUACCACAUUCAUACCAGACCAACACUUUAACUUUGUGCAUUGUGUGUUAAUCUUCUUUCGGCAUCUUACAGAUGUAAGAGUUCAGGAGGAUUAUGAGCUGUAAAAUAUUCUAUCAGCCACUCGAAUUUUGUCCUAAAAGAGGGGCCAAUGUCUCCUUUCUCCUUCCCCCAUUUUACCACUUUAUGUAUACAAAAUUGGGAAUUGACUUAGCCAAGGAGAGGGACUAGAUAAAAAGAGAAAAAAAAGAAGAAACUUACAUUACAAGUUUAUAACUUCCCUCUAUUUAUCUAUGCCAAAAAUUCACUACACAUACUCUAUGCUUGUCUUAAGUUCCUGUCAAUUAGUGUGUCUUCAAUUAAUUAAUGCUAUUUGGUGAUAAAUAUUAAGUAGCUGUACAUCCACUUACUAAGAUUAAAAGUUACUCUUGAUUGGCAUGUUUUGUUUAUUUUAAUUACCGUAUACUAUAAUACUUGUUCCUUAUAUUUAUCUUUGCACUACCCAUACCUCUAAUUUGUUUUUAACACUGUGCAACCAUUUUAAUUCUUAUUAGUAUUAUUCUAACGUUACCUAUACUUUUUAGAUUGUGAGAAACUUUAAAGGAAUACCAUCUCUUAAUUGUCUGAUAACCCAUCAGUGAAAGGAAAGGAGGAGAGAAAAGGAAAAAAAAAAGUGUUUCCUCCAUUUUAACUAUAGCAUUAUAUACUCAUUAAUUAUUUCCUAAUUUAUUUUGUAGAAUGUUGGUCUUGGGUGUCAUUCUCUUUUAUUAGUCCCAUUUUUGAUAAUUUCUGGCGUGCUUGGGAAGGAUCUCUAAACAUCAGAGAGGAGUUUUCAUAUUGCAUAAUCAAGGCUGCUGGAAACCCCUAUCUAUAGGCAAUAUGCUUGUCUCUCAAUAUGCAAACUUGAAAUUUCCUUCUACUUGUCUGGUAGCAAAAGAAAUAUCUGCCAAAAUCUUCAGCCCUUUUUAUGUUUCCAGCUUGGAUAUUUCUUUUCUUCUGACUUGAGUAAUCAGAUUCUUAAUGUAGUAAGAAGCAAAUCUUACUAUUACUUCUCUCGGUAGGUGUUCAGUUAUGCCUUCAGCUUUUGUUAAACGCCGGUAUCUUUUAAAGGGAAAUUGACCCAAUUUGGAUGAGGGAAUAAGUGAAGAACAUAAGUCCAUUAGAAAUUUUUCUAGUUUUUAUUUUGUGUAAUCCUUCGGUAUUCCUCUAAUUCUUAUGUUUUUUCUUUGGGCUCUCUCUUCCGAGUCUAUAUAUCCAAAUCUUUUAAUUUGUUUUCUAAAAUGUUGUGUUUAAUUGAUAACAAUUUGUAAUUACCUUGCAAAUGUUUUAUAGUUUCUGCUUGGAGUGAUAUGGAAUGAAAAUUAGAGAGGUUUCUUCUCUAAAUGUGUCCCUGAGCCUUGUCAUAUCUUUAAUUUCUUGGUGUAGGUCAUCCAUUAAUUCCAUCACACAUUCUUUUGUUAACGGGUGGUGAUGUUCAGGUUGUUCAUGGGAACUUUCAGCGUCAGUAAGAAGUGGUUGGUUCAUUUCUGGGCUAUCCAGAGAGCUUCUAGGUUCUGUGUGUCUUCCUGAGCUCUUAGGCGAGUAAUAAGUGUUUAUGGCUUUAUUUUUGUCUGUUUUGUAAUCUCUCUUUUUUACACAGACCCCUAGGGACACCUCCAGUGGCCACUAGAGGUGCUUCUUGAGGAAGUGCUGCACAGUAGGCAGCACUGUCAUUAAGGUUCUCCACGCUCUGCAUGGAGACGCGGAAUUCUCACAGAAAAGCAUUGAUUUAAUGCAUUUCUAUGAUAAGGUGCUGAUUGGCGAGAACAGUAUUUGGCUCCACCCCCAUCACGCCUCCUAGCCCAUUUCAGCUAAUCCAGUGCUUUCCCUACGGAAUUGGGGACCGGGUCAGCACCAGUGGACCCAAGAAGGUGGAUUGGGGACGAGGUCAGCACCAGUGGACCCAUUUGCUGCUGGAAAUAAGUUGAGUUUUAACCCCUUCUAAGGGGCCUAAGGGAGGGCAAGCCACCUAAAUGGUGGAUUUAAAACAUGUUUGUGUUCCUGAUCCUAUUGUGUUCCUUUAAGGGCACAAUCUUUUCAUUGUAAGCUCAGUUUUCAAAGUCUAUGGUGAUUUCUAGUAGUAAUUUUGUGUGAGAUUGUAAGAUUUUUGAACUAUUAUAAACUGGGCGUCUAUUCCAAAGUCUAAAUGGAAUACUUCAAAUAUCACCUCUAGGAAUAUACUGGGCAUGUAUGAGAUUAUCUUAGGUUGAACUUAUUUCCCAAAUUAUCUAAAUUCUAUACAUGGCCAGCUCUAAAAAGCUUAUCCAGACAGUUAUCAAAUAGUUCUGUGGUACUCUAUAGGGUAUGUUUAUCAUUUAAAAUGGAAAUUUGUGUGUUAACACUGUCUCAAUGGGAAACAUUGUCAGUACUUCAUUAUUUUACUAGUGGCAAUAGAUUUGUUUUAUCAAUAUUAUAAUAACAAUUAUUUGUGUCGAGCUGCCCUAAGUUUCCUUAUGGAUAAGCCACCAUUUCUCUUACUGGUUUUAAGACUGGUAAAUGUAAUAAAGUGUUGGUGACAAUUUUGUGAGAUCAUCUCUGAUCUACCCAACUCUGUCCUUAGGCAGCUCAUUGCACUCAGACCCUAUGUAACCCACAAAUAUAAAAACACCCAAGUUGCGGAUUUCCUGCCCCUGAUUAAUUAUGUCUUCCAUAGAGAUUCCACCUAAGAAGAAAGAGGUUGAACCAAUAAAAACAGAUAUUUGAAAUUGUGUUCAUACUUAGAAUAAUGUUAACAUCUAGUAAAAUGGACAUAUCUUGGAAAAAGUUCCUCUGUUAGGAAAAUAAUGACUUUGUCAAGUUCAGAAUUAGCUAAAUUUUGUAAAUUGUUAUGGAAACAGUUUGUUUUACUUAAAACAAUUUAUAUUGCAGAAGUCAACUAGAUAUAAAGACAGUUAUUCCCUAAAUCUGGCUGUUUACAUAUCAAAUAUAAUUUACCAAUAUAAAUAUUUUGUAUAUUGCAUAUUUAGGGAAGUAGUUGAUUUUAAUUAAAUCAGAUGUAUACUUCAAAUGUGCACUUAAUAAAUACACAGAUAUCCACUGCCUGUACCUGGUUUUAUAUCAUUUAUACACAACUAACAGAUUAAACAUUCAUUUCACAGAGCCUCCAAAGAAAAAACAAGAGCCUCCAAAGAAAAAACAAGAGGCAGAAGAACCAAAAAUAAAGACCAGUAAAUAUUUCCAUUUUCUUUUUAAAUUGCUGUUGCAGAAAAUGCAUAUUUUCAAGCAUAAAAUGUUUAUGCAAACAGUCAUAUUCAAACCAGGAGACAAGAGAGGAUGUACUUAAUAUGGUUCUGACAUUAGUCGUUACUAAUGUUUUCUAUGUAAUUAUUGGGAGCAGAGUAUUGUGAAAAUUCACCACUGCUAUUGUUUUUUAAGCAAACAAAAAAGAAAUGUCCUCAGCACACAGCAAUAAUUUCAGGUGGCUUAUUCCACUAUCAAAGGGAAAGGGCAAUGUUUUGACACAUAUAUGUGUCUUUCUCAGGUCAUAUGAAAAAGACACCUAUAUGUAUCAAAACAUUGCAUUUUUACUUUUAAAGCUAAAUUAGCCACUUGGAUUUAUUGCUGAGUGCUGAGUAUCUCUAUCUUUUAUUUGCUUAUUACCGUGGAUCCAGGUCAACAGGGACCCCACCUUCUAACACUAGCACUAAAAUUUGGAAUUUGCUUUGAAAUGCCUGCCACACUAUUUACUUGCCAUUUUUUUUAAAACCCAGCAAUAUUUUGUCCUACAUUUUACCUCUUGUCCAUUAUGCAAUAUAUAGUUAAUGUAUACUAAAAUAAAAGCUAUGAUGAGGAUAAACAAUAGGGUGAAUGUAUAGCCAUAUGUUUCUAAAAGAAACAGCCUUCUACUUUUUCAAGAAACAUACAGUACCAUUCUCCUUAUUUUAUUCUUAAUUGCUCAAUUGUGCACCAGGCACUCAAUUAUAUUUCAAAACCCAGAAAGUUCAUACCGGGUGCAUAUACAAAAGGUACAAAGCAAAUAUGCUGGAAAAUAAAUACAGUUCACAUCAGCAUCUAUUGUGUUCAUAGUCAAUGUAAGCCCUCAGACUGAGAAGGGAGCACAACAGGGGCCAGUCCAAAAAGAAACACACAUUGGGACUGACUGAAUAUGUAUAGUAACAUAUAAUAUUAAUUAAUAUUACAUAAAUGAUUUAAGAUUAGUUAUCUGCUAGCGCUGCAUUAAUUCUCCCAACAGCGAAAAAAAUCAGAGAAGGUAUGUGAAGCAUAAACUAUUAUCAGUAUUGCCUUGGUACAGAUUGUGGUGAGUUCAUUAAUGCCUCGUUUCCACUGAGCGGAAUGGUUCGGGUCUGUACAGUUUGGAAGGGUUAGAAU